rnacentral:piRNA from 1 species
UAUUGUUCCAUAGCAGACAUGUAAAUAG